GGAAUGCACCGCUCUCGAGAAGUAACUAUAAAGACACUCUAAGUUCGCCUCCUCUCUGGCCACUUACAGCAUUAAGUACAGCUGUUACCUUCCAAAAAACGUUACGUCUGUGUACGUCCCCCUGCUGCAGCGGACUUCUCAGAGUACUGAGGAAACACAAGCACUGGCGCCGCCAGCUACCGCGGCGUUACCUCAGAGAGGAGACCGCCCCGCCCCACUCGCCGCCGAUCAAACGCACGCCGCCAUUUCGGGGCCGCGCGCCUUUGGGCGCGAGAUUACCUCAGGGCGUAGGGGCUGCGCGGCUCAGCGCGGGAAAGAGCCGGGCUCUUGAGGAAGGUCGAUUAAAGCCAUAAACCAGGAGUAAGAUUUAGUGAGAUCUUAAAGAAAUGCUCCUUGAAGACCAGCUAGAACAACUUUUCCAAACACUGCCAGACUGUUCAACAUUCCUGUGUACAGUGAGGAGACAGUCACAAUAGGCAUUUUAGACUGCAGAUUGAGAGACACGAGGACAGCUAGCCAAGAACAGCGUGAACAAGAAAGACUUUUUCCAGCAAUAAGCUCGCCUGCCUGUUUGUCUGGUAAAGGAGCGGUGCACCUGACCAACACAUGGUUUACUUAGGAAGGAAUACUACCUUUUUACUGUUGUAACAAACUUAAGUAAUACUACAUAGUUAUAGUCUCAAAUCUGAAAUUCAGUUCUGGGAAUGGAAGGUUUCCCUAAAACCUGCAAAGCCGGCAAAAAUUGCACAUGCAGAAACAAAAUACUGGAUUUUUGUUAAGAAGAAGCAAAUUAUUACAUGUGAAGUAGAGGUAUCUUGUUACAUUUCUACCAGAAAUAGACAUGAAAAAGUUCAUAAAUAGUUUAAUAAAUUAACCAACCUUUUUGAGAGCUCCUGACUCCUUCCAUGCCAUCCUAUCUUCAGCACUGCAUUUAACAGAAAGUGCUGCCAAGGCUUGAGUGUACAAUAAAGUAAACAGCACCUUUACAAUGCAGGUGAAGUGUUCUGUAAAACAAAGGAAGUCAUUUACAAACACUUUGUAUUUUUAGCAAUUAUA
rnacentral:lncRNA from 1 species